rnacentral:rRNA from 1 species
UACGAAGGGGGCUAGCGUUGUUCGGAAUUACUGGGCGUAAAGCGCACGUAGGCGGAUAUUUAAGUCAGGGGUGAAAUCCCGGGGCUCAACCCCGGAACUGCCUUUGAUACUGGGUAUCUAGAGUCCGGAAGAGGUGAGUGGAAUUCCGAGUGUAGAGGUGAAAUUCGUAGAUAUUAGGAAGAACACCGGUGGCGAAGGCGGCCCACUGGAUCGGUACUGACGCUGAGGUGCGAAAGCGUGGGGAGCAAACAGG